rnacentral:rRNA from 1 species
AGAUGCCGGAUACCUGCGACAGGACGGAAAGACCCCAUGGAGCUUUACUGUAGCUUGACAUUGGGUCUUGGUACUACAUGUACAGGAUAGGUGGGAGGCUUUGAAACCAGGACGCCAGUUUUGGCGGAGCCAUCCUUGGGAUACCACCCUUGUAGUACUGGGACUCUAACCAUAGGCCAUGAAUCUGGUCUUGGGACACUGUCAGGUGGGCAGUUUGACUGGGGCGGUCGCCUCCCAAAAGGUAACGGAGGCGCUCAAAGGUUCUCUCAGUACGGUCGGAAAUCGUACGUAGAG